AUUAUAUCUGGGGAGGUGCGCACCCGAUCCGCUUGCGGCUUGCGGGGCCGCGCAUGUGCGCUGAUGCUUCGUGUGUGCAGCAUUGUGCAUUGAGUACGCCCACAAACAUGCGCUGACUAAAUUUAUCUGAAUGCAAAGGGGGAACACGUGUUAAGAUAUGCAGGAAUCGGCUCUUUUUGAUGCGGUUACAACAGGCGAUGAAUUAUCUGUUCGCCGGCUCUUAGACGAUAAUGCUCCAUUCACCAGCACCUGCGAUGGCGGAAACUACCUUCAUCUUCUGGCUAAGCAAACUUUCACCAUAUUGUCACCGGAAGACAGCGCUUCGAGGCAGAAACGACGGCGCAAUAUCAUAUAUAUGCUGUGCGAUGAAGGGCUAAGCCCCAAUCUUCGCGACGCGAUGGGCAGAACUCCUAUGCAUUAUGCCGUCCAGAAUUCCGAUCCACACCUUCUCAAGACAUUACUUCAGUGUUUUCCAAAUCCUCCGGAUGACAUUUGUGCUGCUGUGGUGCCCACUUUGUUGCAAGAAGUGCUUAAUAAUUUUAAGCCUGGACUCUGCAGUGCUAUUCAACAGCAUUGUAUAACAGAUGUACGUAGAAUAGUAAACAUGUGGUGCCGCACUGAUGCCUUCACGAAUGGCUGUAAUCUUAAGGAACUUGCUCUGGAAUCUGGGCAUGAAGAAAUCAUAAGCUUGAUACUUGGGGUCGAGCCAUCAAUGCGCCUAGUCCAUCAUGUCCUUGCAAGAAAAGUUGAGAAAGUAAGAGAGCUCCUGUCUAUGGAACGGGCAAGUUUGAACCUGGAUCUUCGAAAUAUGAGUGACCGUGGUGCUCCAAUCCUCUUCUACGCCAUUGCUAAUAAAGAUGUAGACAUUGUGAGGCUUCUUGUGUCAGCAGGCUGCCACAUCUUCACACUUAUGCGUGAUGCAGACAAUCAGGAGAUACCCGUUCUAUUCUCUGCUCUUACCAUGGAUAUGAGCCCUGAAUUGGCCAAUGCAUUGAUGCCAAAAGAUUUGCCAAGUCAGCAGCAAGUCAUCAGAAGACUUUUGUACAAAAGCAGGACAAUCUUGGAAGUUGCUCUUGAGAAUAGAAUACCGCCAGCGACAUUUGAAAUCCUUAUAUAUCGUGGAGGUGCUGAGCUGCUGGCUGGAAGAAACAAGGACAACAAGACAGUGAGAGACAUUGCUCAGCAUGCUGCACAGCAUGAAUAUGUCAAAGCAGUUGAUAACGUUGUUAGGGAAUGGGUGAAAGAUCCCACAAGUUACCCAGAUCAGAGACAGGUACUAGCCUUAUGUGGGUACGACCACAUUACAGACCUUUUUUCCAGAGACUCCUUCAUGCAGUUGACACAUGAUACUGUAGAGUACCUGGAAGGUGUUGCGGAUCAUCAGGAACAGAUUGCCGAGCUUUCAAGAGCUGUUGAGGAUGGAAACUAUGAAAGAUUUGAAGAAUUAAGAACAUACAGUUCUGCAGUGUUCAGAAGAAAUAUAUGUUGGGAAGCAUGUCAAAAGGGAGAUGGUCAGCCACUUCUCCAUAGGGCUGUGCUGUUCAACCGUCCCCAUAUUGUAAAAGCAAUAUUACAAAACGUUCCUGCUGGUCAGUCAGUGGACACCCUUUUAGAUCAGCUGCAACUGUUCUUUACAGCAUCACCGCACUGCCCUCCACUAUGCCUAUGCCAUGUCUGAUGGUGACCAUUUAAUUCAACUCCUCAUGAAUGCUGGCUGCUCUGAGCACACACUUGACAGGAAAGGAAUGGAGCCAUUAGACUUCAAGAUGCGUUGUGGGUCACCUGCAAUGGAAUCAUUGCUGAAGCACAUACGCAGCAAGGUCCCUCUUGAAGAGUCAAGGAUAUGGAAUUCUAAAAUGCAUCAUAGAAAAAAUGUGCCAUGUCAAAGGGUCACGGGUUGUAAAUGGCCCUCUACACCACCAAAGCAUGUCCAUGCAAUGGGGUGCCUCUGCC
rnacentral:misc_RNA from 1 species